rnacentral:tRNA from 1 species
UCUAAAAUGGCAGAUUAGUGCCAUGGACUUAAGAUUCAUAAAUAAAGGUUUAAAUCCUUUUUUUAGAA